ACCGCGCGGCAUGCCUUACACAUGCAAGUCGAACGGCAGCACGGGGGCAACCCUGGUGGCGAGUGGCGAACGGGUGAGUAAUACAUCGGAACGUGUCCUGUAGUGGGGGAUAGCCCGGCGAAAGCCGGAUUAAUACCGCAUACGAUCUACGGAAGAAAGCGGGGGAUCUUCGGACCUCGCGCUAUAGGGGCGGCCGAUGGCAGAUUAGAUAGUUGGUGGGGUAAAGGCCUACCAAGGGGACGAUCUGUAGCUG
rnacentral:rRNA from 1 species